rnacentral:rRNA from 1 species
GUGGGUCGAUGAAGAACGCAGCCAACUGCGAUAAAUAGUGUGAACUGCAGAAACCUUGAACACAAAACAUUCGAAUGCGCAUUGCGCCACCGGAGUAACAUCAGGUGGCACGCCUGGUUCAGGGU